UACGUAGGGUGCGAGCGUUAAUCGGAAUUACUGGGCGUAAAGCGUGCGCAGGCGGUUUUGCAAGCCGGAUGUGAAAUCCCCGGGCUCAACCUGGGAAUGGCAUUCGGGACUGCAAGGCUGGAGUGCGGCAGAGGAGACUGGAAUUCCUGGUGUAGCAGUGAAAUGCGUAGAUAUGCGGAGGAACACCGAUGGCGAAGGCAAUCCCCUGGGCCUACACUGACGCUCAUGCACGAAAGCGUGGGGAGCAAACAGG
rnacentral:rRNA from 1 species